rnacentral:SRP_RNA from 1 species
AGGAGUCCCAGGCAAUCGCCACCGCGCUGCAGCCCAAGCUGACCAAGACGCGCGGCGCAGUGGAGACCAUCCUGCACGACGUGGCCACCCUGGAGGUGGCGCUCAG